rnacentral:rRNA from 1 species
AUUGAACGCUGGCGGCGUGCUUAACACAUGCAAGUCGUGCGGUAACAGGCGUAGCAAUACGUGCUGACGAGCGGCGAACGGGUGCGUAAUACAUGGGAAUCUGCCUUUUAGUGGGGAAUAACCCGGCGAAAGCCGGGCUAAUGCCGCAUAAGAUCUUCGGAUGAAAGCGGGGGAUCGUAAGACCUCGCGCUGAUAGAUGAACCCAUGCCGGAUUAGCUAGUUGGNGAGGUAACGGCUCACCAAGGCGACGAUCCGUAGCUGGUCUGAGAGGACGGCCAGCCACACUGGGACUGAGACACGGCCCAGACUCCUACGGGAGGCAGCAGUGGGGAAUAUUGGACAAUGGGGAAACCCUGAUCAGCGACGCCGCGUGUGUGAAGAGGGCCUGCGGGUUGUAAAGC